rnacentral:rRNA from 1 species
AGGAUGAACGCUGGCGGUCUGCUUAACACAUGCAAGUCGAACGGAGUACCUCGGUACUUAGUGGCGGACGGGUGAGUAACGCGUGAGAAUCUGCCCUUAGGUCGGGGACAACCAUUGGAAACGAUGGCUAAUACCGGAUAAGCCGAGAGGUAAAAGAUUAAUUGCCUAGGGAAGAGCUCGCGUCUGAUUAGCUAGUUGGUGAGGUAAAGGCUCACCAAGGCAUCGAUCAGUAGCUGGUCUGAGAGGAUGAUCAGCCACACUGGGACUGAGACACGGCCCAGACUCCUACGGGAGGCAGCAGUGGGGAAUUUUCCGCAAUGGGCGAAAGCCUGACGGAGCAAGACCGCGUGAGGGAGGAAGGCUCUUGGGUUGUAAACCUCUUUUAUCAGGGAAGAACACAAUGACGGUACCUGAUGAAUCAGCAUCGGCUAACUCCGUGCCAGCAGCCGC